UCCUCAUCUCCUCUAACCGCCAACUGCAAAUGCCUUGGAGUUAUCCUCUUCACUUUCAAAUCCUUGUUAGUGUUUUCGGCCAACUGAAGAACCUCAGUAGUUAGGCAUUCAAGGAUUGAAGUCGUGUAGACAACAUCAGUCGCACCAACAGUACCAUGUGCAGAAACUCUGGUCUUAAGUUGCUUGUGAAUACGAGCCACUGGAAACUGAAAGAAACAAAGAAACAAUAUCAGUAUAAAAUUUCAUCAAAUUAGACUACAAAAAAUGAAAUUUCUUUGUUUAUUUCAAUUUCUAGUGGGUCGUAUUCACAUACAACUCAAGACUAGAGUAUCUACAACAUGGUCUACUUGGUGCUAUUGUUGUUGACUACACGCCUUCAAUCCUAAAGUGCCUAAUUUCAUAGGUUAUUGAGUUACUUAGAAACACAAGCAAUGAUAAGAAAAUGAAGAGGAUUACUCCAAUGCAUUGAUAGUUGGUGAUCGCAGGAGAUAAGGA